rnacentral:rRNA from 1 species
CUCAAGUUGACAACCACCGGCGUUAAGCGUGAUUAAAGCUUACAUAAGUUAGGGUUAAAUUAAUACUUAGUAGUGAUAAGCUUGUUAUUAAAAAAACCAUAAACGAAAGUUACCCUAAUUAUAAUACUUGAAUACACGACAGCUGGGAAGACAAACUAGGAUUAGAUACCCUACUAUGCUCAGCCGUAAACAAUUAAUUUACACCAAUCAGCGCCAGGGAAUUACGAGCCAUGCUUAAAACCCAAAGGACUUGACGGUGUCCCACCCCCCUAGAGGAGCCGGUUCUAUAAUCGAUGAUCCCCGCUAUACCCUACCAUUCCUCGCCUCAGUCUGUAUACCUCCGUCGAAAGCCUACCCUGUGAACGCCCAGUAAGCCCAAUGACCCCCCUCAACACGUCAGGUCAAGGUGCAGCUCACGGAAUGGAAAGUAAUGGGCUACAAUUUCUAACAUAGAACAAACGAAAGACCAUGUGAAACCAUGUCACGAAGGUGGAUCUAGUAGUAAAAAGAAAAUAGAGUGUUCUUUUUAACCCGGCUCUGGGACGCGUACACACCGCCCGUCACCCUCUUCGAUAGCUUUACUUCACGUUUAUAACCCUUUAUCCGCACCUUAGAAGAGGCAAGUCGUAACACGGUAAGUGUACUGGAAAGUGCACUUGGAUUACAA